rnacentral:rRNA from 1 species
CCUACGGGGCGCAGCAGUGAGGAAUAUUGGUCAAUGGCCGGAAGGCUGAACCAGCCAAGCCGCGUGAAGGACGAAGGUGCCAAGCAUUGUAAACUUCUUUUGUCAAGGGACAAAAUCAGGCUCGAGAGCCUGACCGAGGGUACUUGAAGAAAAAGCAUCGGCUAACUCCGUGCCAGCAGCCGCGGUAAUACGUAGGGGGCAAGCGUUAUCCGGAUUUACUGGGUGUAAAGGGAGCGUAGACGGCAGCGCAAGUCUGGAGUGAAAUGCCGGGGCCCAACCCCGGAACUGCUCUGGACACUGCGAAG